rnacentral:rRNA from 1 species
CAGCAGCCGCGGUAAUACAGAGGAUGCAAGCGUUAUCCGGAAUGAUUGGGCGUAAAGCGUCUGUAGGUGGCUUUUCAAGUCCGCCGUCAAAUCCCAGGGCUCAACCCUGGACAGGCGGUGGAAACUACCAAGCCGGAGUACGGUAGGGGCAGAGGGAAUUUCCGGUGGAGCGGUGAAAUGCGUUGAGAUCGGAAGGAACACCUGUGGCGAAAGCGGCUCACUGGACCAUUUCUGACGCUGAUGCACGAAAGCUAUGGGAGCAAACAGGAUUAGAUACCCCGGUAGUCCCUGUCUCUUAUAC